rnacentral:rRNA from 1 species
UAAGGAAUAUUGGUCAAUGGACGCAAGCCUGACCCAGCAACGCCGCGUGAGGGAUGAAGUAUUUCGGUAUGUAAACCUCGAAAGAAUGGGAAGAAUAAAUGACGGUACCAUUUAUAAGCUCCGGCUAACUACGUGCCAGCAGCCGCGGUAAUACGUAGGGAGCAAGCGUUGUUCGGAUUUACUGGGCGUAAAGGGCGCGUAGGCGGCGCGGUAAGUCACUUGUGAAAUCUCUGAGCUUAACUCAGAACGGCCAAGUGAUACUGCUGUGCUAGAGUGCGGAAGAGGCAACCGGAAUUCUGGGUGUAGCGGUGAAAUGCGUAGAUAUCAAGAGGAACACCUGAGGCGAAGGCGGGUUGCUGGGCCGACACUGACGCUGAUGCGCGAAAGCCAGGGGAGCAAACG